AGAGUUUGAUCAUGGCUCAGAUUGAACGCUGGCGGAAUGCUUUACACAUGCAAGUCGAACGGCAGCACGGGAGCUUGCUCCUGGUGGCGAGUGGCGAACGGGUGAGUAAUGCGUCGGAACGUACCGAGUAAUGGGGGAUAACGCAGCGAAAGCUGUGCUAAUACCGCAUACGCCCUGAGGGGGAAAGUGGGGGAUCGCAAGACCUCACGUUAUUCGAGCGGCCGACGUCUGAUUAGCUAGUUGGUGGGGUAAAGGCUCACCAAGGCGACGAUCAGUAGCGGGUCUGAGAGGAUGAUCCGUCACACUGGAACUGAGACACGGUCCAGACUCCUACGGGGGGCAGCAGUGGGGAAUUUUGGACAAUGGGGGCAACCCUGAUCCAGCCAUUCCGCGUGAGUGAAGAAGGCCUUCGGGUUGUAAAGCUCUUUCAGCCGGAACGAAACGGUACGCACUAAUAUUGUGUGCUAAUGACGGUACCGGCAGAAGAAGCACCGGCUAACUACGUGCCAGCAGCCGCGGUAAUACGUAGGGUGCGAGCGUUAAUCGGAAUUACUGGGCGUAAAGCGUGCGCAGGCGGAUUGUUAAGCAAGAUGUGAAAUCCCCGGGCUUAACCUGGGAAUGGCAUUUUGAACUGGCAGUCUAGAGUGUGUCAGAGGGGGGUGGAAUUCCACGUGUAGCAGUGAAAUGCGUAGAUAUGUGGAGGAACACCAAUGGCGAAGGCAGCCCCCUGGGAUAACACUGACGCUCAUGUACGAAAGCGUGGGUAGCAAACAGGAUUAGAUACCCUGGUAGUCCACGCCCUAAACGAUGUCAACUGGUUGUUGGGGGAGUGAAAUCCCUUAGUAACGAAGCUAACGCGUGAAGUUGACCGCCUGGGGAGUACGGUCGCAAGGUUAAAACUCAAA
rnacentral:rRNA from 1 species